CUUUUAGAAGGAGCUGUCAGCACUGGAGCAGGGAUAGACUUUCUUCAGAGUGGGACAGAUGCAGAGACUGAGGAGAAACACACUGUGUUGCAUGGAAUUAGCAGGACAGAAGAGAAAGCACCAUCCACUGACCUGCAGGCUGCUGACAUGUUGCCAUGCUAAUGCUUGCAGGAUUGUAACAACCCCACAAGACAUCCUGGCAAUGCAUCCCACCACUACAGCCUGCUUGCCUUGCUCAGCAGAACAAACUGAUGGACAGUAACCACUUCUUGGAUGGCUCACUCCAGGCCAAGUCAGCUUGAACUUCGGCCUUUGUUUUCCACAUGCGAAAGAUUCUGUAUGAUACCAGAGGUGAAACAAGAACUUACGGGCCUCAGAAAAAGCUGUGCAAAGAGGAAGCUAAGCUCCACGCUGGCAUAGCUUGUCAUUUCCAGCAGACGAGAUCAUGUGAACUGCUGCUCAUUUCCACUAGAAAGAGGAUUGGACACAAACACAAGCAGCAAAAUCAGAAUUACCUGAUUCUCAAUUAAAUCCAUGUUUUUCUUUAAAAAAUGAUAAGUUACUUCAUUCUAAAUACCAUUUAAAAGACUGUCUUCUACUGAAGGAAAAAUAGUAAAAAAAAAAAAAAAAAAAAUUUAUUUGCUACCUACAUUUCAAGCAGCAGUGAUGCCAUUACUACGAUAACUGAAGGAUAUAAGCAACACAAAAUUUUGCACAAGGAAGCUGUACCUUCUUAGUGAUGUACUUAGAAGACAACACAAGGCCCUCUUCAGACUUGAAAUAUAAGUCGUGAGCUUCAAGCUGAUACCCAUCAGGAACAGCUGUUCUGAAUUAAACUUACCUAUCUUCAUUAAGUGCACGAUCCUAAUCUGUCUAGCACCUGUGCCUGAAACAGGUUUAACGUAGUUUUAAUAGUCUUUCCUUCUUUUCUUCUGUACUUUUUAAAAGAGGUGGAAAGGUAUUUAAGGGCAGUUAUUUACCAUAGGACUAAGUAGGUAAAGAUAUCAGCUCUAGAAUCAUUCAGUCUUACUGUAAUGCCCUAUGUAUAACAACCUUGAUUUCAGCUACUGAGGCUUAUUUGGCUCGUACAAAUUAACAUGUGGACUUCCAGAAAAAAUCUGAAGUCUUACAUAAAUAGAGGACCUAAGCUGAUGCAUCUACCUUAGGAAUGGC
ensembl:lncRNA